GUUUUGUGCACCCCAGUCAGACCACCAUGCUCAGAGGAGGGUGCGCGCGCCACCCUCCACAGGGAGACGUGCUCACGGAGAAACCUGCAUGCGCUCAGCAGGCCCGUGGAAGAACCCCGGCGGGCCGCGGGAAAACCCCGCGUGUUUCCCCGGUGGGUCUAGUGCUCUGAGCCAGGAGUGUUCCCGUAGGGAACCUUCAGACCCUCCGUUGAGAGGGCCGCAGCUGAACGCGGGGGCGCGGCGCGAACCUAGGGAGACAGCCCGCUCGCAGCUCCGAUGGCCUGUGGGACAGACCGGCUGCGAGGCAGCCACCCCGCGGGGCGUGCGCGGCCGAACGCUGGGUGCGGGCUGGGGGUGCCCAGUCCACCGGCGGCGGAAAGCAGGCGCAGCUCCGCGGCCCCGGGACCCUGAAGCCCAGUCCUUCCGGCCGCGGAUUCCCGCUUCGCCUCCUGCACCGCGUGCACGCGCGCCGCUCGCCCAGGGAGCGGGCUUCGGGCGCGCCGACCGGCUGCUUCAGCGGCUCCCAGAGUGCGCUGCGGCGGACCGCUGGGGCUGCGCACAAGCGCGCGGGGCGGGGCCAACGGCCGUGCGGUUAGAGCGGGACUUGCUUGCGGCUGCUCUGCCUGAAGGAGCUUCAGUCUGGUGAAGAAGACAGCUAAACAUGGCCACUACGAUCAGAACCCAGAAAAGGGGCACUUAAUCAGACCUGAGAGAAGAGGGUGGUGGAGGCUUCUUUCAAGGAUGGCACUGUGGAGGGGACCCUGAACAAUGAGCAUGAGCAAGGUCAGUGUGCAUCCACCUGCAGCAGAGGAAGCAUUCCGCUUGUGCCGCCCGCCGGUGUCUCCGCUCCGCUUCCGCCAAGGCCUCCCGCUGAAGCCGCCGUCGCUUGCCAAAGCCCUGCGCUGCCUGCCGGCGCCCUCCAACAACGACCGCCCGCGGCCUCCUCCCGCCGGCUCCAGGGGCCCCCCUCGCGAGGGACCCGGCACCCUCUUCCUCACGCAGGCCUGUGCUCCUCGCAGGGGCAGCUCAUGCGCAGCCACCGACCCCGGAGCCCGUCUCCCGCCUGUCCCCGCCAGCCGGUGCCUCCGGCUGACACCUGCCCUGGACGCCUGCUGCCACCACCGCCCUCCAGUUCCUUCUUCCCGCUGACGCUGACCUUCACUGACGCCCAGUGCUCCCCGCUGCCAGACGCCCUCAGACUCCUGCCGCCGCCAACAGAGGCCCUCUUGCCAGGGACCCGGCAGGCCUCGCCAACUUGCAGCAGCUUCAGCUCAUAGCUGACAAGUGCAGCAGAGUGGUCACUGCUGGAAGAGCCUGCGGACUCUUUAGAGGCUGUGCCCUGUGCCAAGCCUCUGGCUGAUGCUCUGUUCAGUUCCGUGAACACCUGAUGUGCUUUAUAAAGGGCUCUUUUGCUCCCUCAAGCUCAAGGAGUCCUUGUCAUUGCCACUCAGAGCCAUCACCUGGAUGAACACAUUCAAGGUCAUAUGUAUAAUUACUGACCUGCCCCUUCCAGGUUCCUUCCUGAGAGAAGGGGGCCAAACCAGGGUUCUGGGGAGCAAGCAGGGGCCUGGCCUGGAAGCAGGACCUGGCUGCUUUGCUUAGAAGCUGAGGUAUGAGCAGAAGGGCCUGGGGUGGCCUGGGCCACGGCCAGGGCAUGACUGGGCUGUGUCAUGGGAAGGGACCUGAGUGAGGUGUUUUCAAGACAUGGAUCAGGGGAUGCUCUGAGAGAGGUCCUGCAGGAGGGGGACUGGGCAGGUUCUUCCCUGCUCCACAGGUCCCGCCAGGUGCCCUGAUGGCCUCACUCCUGGCGUGGCCACCUCCCCUCCUCAGGUCUCAGUGGCAGUGUGGCUGUGGGCCCUGUUUCCCAGACAAGGCUGAGACUUAGGGGAGACCCUAGAUAUUGGAAACUGAGCCAACACCUUAAAAAAUUUGUGUAAGUUGUGUUUCUAGUGUUUUCCUCAUAGCAACCAGAGUGAAAAGUACAGAGGUGGAUGAACACAGAUGUACCUGCCCUGUAAUUAUGAGUGAAACAUUAGAAAUGGCUCAAGAGUUGACAGCCAGGACUGCUGGAAGGACCCAGUGCCGAGGCACCUGCCAGGCUUUGGCUCCAGGACAGCACAGUGGCAGGGUCCCCAUGAGGAGCACACCCCCUUUGUGUCCUGAAUGCAGAGGAGGAGGCUGGGCCGCUGCUUCUCCAGGCCUUUGACCUUCAGCUGCAGACCAGAGCCUUCCCUUCUGUGCCAUCCCCUGUGACUGACUCUAUGUCUUCAGGAAAGAGGAGAGUGACAGAGGAGACGAUGGAAGUGAGGAGCAGGCGCCCCUGGAUGCCUCACCUGUUCCUGGUGCUCCUGCUGCCACAUGUGCUGCUGAGCACAGGACAAUCCUCGUACAGCCCCUCAGGCUGGAGGAAUGUCUAUGAGGACACAGGCAGCCCAAGGAGGAGAAGAGGCUGCAACCCUGUGAGGCUGCCAUCGACAUGUAUAUCAUCCUCGACGUACAGGACAGUUCCUAGACUUGCAACAUCUACAGGAAAAAGGAUGGGCUGUGAACAGCUCCAAGGUUCAGAGACCUGGUUUGUCUGUGAAAUUCGUGGGGGUUGUCUGGUCUGAUAAAAUGAAAAUUGUUCCUGAAGCAGUCAUGGACAAGGUCCAGGCUUUCCACACCCCUAUCACUGUGGCAGUAUUGCAAGAGUUUUGGGGUCUUUUGGGCUACUGGAGAGUGUUUAUCCUGCACCUGGCACAAAUUCUGAAGCCCUUAUACUGGUUGGUAUGAAAGGGCGUCAGGUGGGACUGGGAUGAGACAUGUGCAGGUGCUUUUACUGCUGCCAUGUGGGCAUUCAAGGCUGUACUGGUCUUGAAUGUAAUGGACUCAAGGCCCUGUGAACUAGAUGUUCAUGUAACCAAAGAUGGUUAUGAACGGGGUCUUUGCAGCAGCUUAUACAGACACAGCAACCUUGGAUUCUGGUCACAACUAUGGAAAGGAACAGGUCCAGUACACCUUGAUAGACAGCUGGCUGGUGUGUACCAUGCCUUGCUGGCUGUGGAGCCCAUUGCUGGAACAGUUCCCACCAAGGUAAUAACCACCUAUCCCAUUGCAGGGAGGGUGUGAGACUGGACCCAAAGGCCACGGAGUGGCGUGGCACAGACACCUACACUGGCCAAAUAGGGUGCAUAUUUACUAGCCCCUUAAGUGGAGAACUCCAACACUCUUUGGGGCCAGUGACCUAUAACCAGUGGAAAACAGGAAGAACUUGCUUUUGAGCUAUUGGUAGUUGAGACUCCUUUAUCAGGACGGAAAAGCUCCUAUACCUGAAGAUGCAUGGUACACAGAUGGCUCUGGUCUUAAGACUGAGACAAUAUGGAUGGAGAGGGGAAGAGCAGUCAAUGGGGUGACUUGUGGACAGUAUGGCCCAUGAUCACCUAAGAGCCAUCCCCCAUAGUUGUCUGCACUGACAGCUGGGCUAUCGGCUUGAUCCUGUGGCUGCUGACAUGGUUGAUCACCAGCCCAUUUGGGUGCAAGACUUAUGGGUGUCUGGUCAGGCUAAGAUUGUUACUGUAUAUCAUGCGACUUGCUAUAUGCCUUUGGCAUCCCCAGGGAAUGAUGAAGCAGACACACUGGCCCAGGUGCAUUGGCUAGAAGGAAAGCCUGCCUCUGAUGUGGCCCAAUGGCUACACCAGCAUUGUUGCAUGCGGGGCAAAAGACAAUGUGGGCUUGUAGCCCGUCAGUGGGGCUUGCCUUUGACCUUUGAAGAAGUCAGCAGAGCCCAGUAGGAGUGCCUUGUGUGCUCUAAGAGGGACUUAUACCGAUUCCCACGGCAACAUGGGACAGUAGUAAGGGGGCCUAUAUCCCUUGUCAGGUGGCAAAUAGACUACAUUGGGCCUCUGCCCAUAUCAGAAGGAUAUCGGUAUGCCAUGACUUGUGUGGACACAGCUAUGAACAUUUGGUUGCUUAUCCUGCAUGUGCCGAUCAGCAAACCACCAAGAGGGGCCUAGAGCAUCUCUUUGCAGCCUAUGGCUGGCCUCAGGUGAUUGAGAGUGAUCAGGGCACCCACUUCACUGGACAUGUGUUACAACAAUGGGUGCAGCAAUUAGGAAUAAAGUGGAAAUUUCAUAUACCAUGUAAUCCUACUGGGGCAGGCAUGAUAUGGAUGUUGAAAUCUGGCCUGAAUUCGGACACCAAUAGUCUACAGGGCUGGUCAGCUCGCCUAUGGACAGUGCAGCGUUUGAAUAAGAAGCCAUGUAAAGGAGCUUUGAGCCCUGUGGAUUUGCUCACACACCUUGCUGCGUCUCCUACACAACUGUACAUCCAAGCCAAAGAAGAGUUAUUGAAGCCAGGAUAUGGCCAGCAGAGCCACACCCUGCUGCCAGCCCCUACUGCGUUAAGCCCUGCAGACACGGCUGAAUGGACGUGGCCCUAGACAUCUCAACACAUGGACCAGCGAUGGCUGGCUCUUCUGGCACCUUAGGGGAAACGCCUGGCAACUGUCCUUGUGUCUAUUCCUGGAGUAACAGCAGUGGCCCCCAAAGAUCAUAGUAGUGUACCCAAAACAUCCAGGAGGUAAGAGCAUCUUGCGGGGAAGUUUUGUUUUAUCUUUAUGGCCGGUGCAUGUACCUCCCGUAGCCCUUUAUAUUGACCCAUCUGUAACUCCCACAGGGAAGGGGGUGAAAGUCUGGUAUACUAGACCAGGACGAGAGCCCAUUCCUGCCACUUUCCUAUCAGAGGAACACUCUUGCUUGUAUCCUACCUGAUGGACAAGAUUUUCCUAUGCUGGUAUCAUUAAAACAUGUAUCUUAUCGCCCUUAAGGUUAUUUUCUCCUACAGACCUUGUGGCCUGCAUGCACCUCCCGGCUGCAGCUGCCGCAUGAUGAUUGCUGUGAACCCUCAGCUACUGCCUGCCUAUGGAAUGGACGAGCUAUGGACUUAAACUGCAUAAGACUUUGAACCUAGGUGAAUCUUCCAGCUUGAAGAUUGUCAUGAUUUUAUUGCUGUUGCUAUUGUAUGUCAGUCUGGUCACAAUGCUCCCGUUUUUUUGGCCAGGGACCAUUGCGGAAGAGGGGGAACGAGUAGAUUGUAAGGCAAGAUUUCUGGAGUGGUGGCCUAUAGGUAAAAUUAUAGUAUUUACAGAAUAUCUCCCCUGGCUUUAGUUCAUUUGCAUAUCCUCAGGGGUGGAGAGAAGUUUAUCUCCAUAUCAGUGGGUAAUUACCUUGGCAACCAAGGGUUUAUCUGAACCUGAGAGGUUAAGGUGAGGUUUUUGCUUGCUUGCUUCUGCCAGAGCAGGCAAGAGAGACUGCCCCAGACUGCAGUUUGUAAACAAUAAACAGAUUUUAAACUUUA